GGUGCCUCAAAUUCGGUUGCCUGUGCGGUCUUACCGUCGUUGGUAGCAUGUUCCCUCUAUUUCGUAUUAUGCUUGCUCCAUGGAUGUUAUGCAUCGAUGGACAGCCGAGGUGUUGGCAAAUCCCGUGCGCUGCGAUGCACUUUGUGUGUCGGAACUGCUUAUCGGAUGUUUGUCGGGUCUCAUGGAUGUCAGUCCAUACGUUGAGCGGUCUGCGGGCUUCAAGCGUGCAGGCUCAUGGUGUUUGCCCGUACACAAAUUGUUGCUGAUGGUUACUUGACAUGUUGCGUUCCUUCGGGAUUCAUGUCGAUGAAACAUCAUCAACAAAUUUGUGAGCGUGUGCAUAUACUUACUGACUCGAAUGAUGUGCGAUUGUCGGUAUGCAUUGUCACGGGGUG
rnacentral:misc_RNA from 1 species